AGAGUUUGAUCCUGGCUCAGAAUCAACGCUGGCGGCGUGCCUAACACAUGCAAGUCGAACGCGAAAGUCCCGCAAGGGAUCAGUAGAGUGGCAAACGGGUGAGUAACACGUGGGUGACCUGCCUUCGAGUGGGGGAUAACGUCCCGAAAGGGACGCUAAUACCGCAUAACAUCCUGCCUUUGAAGAGGUGGAGAUCAAAGCUGGGGAUCGCAAGACCUAGCACUCGAAGAGGGGCCCGCGUCCGAUUAGCUAGUUGGUGGGGUAAUGGCUCACCAAGGCAACGAUCGGUAGCCGGCCUGAGAGGGCGGACGGCCACACUGGGACUGAGACACGGCCCAGACUCCUACGGGAGGCAGCAGUGGGGAAUUGUUCGCAAUGGGCGCAAGCCUGACGACGCAACGCCGCGUGGAGGAUGAAGAUCUUCGGGUCGUAAACUCCUUUCGAUCGAGACGAAUUCCUCCGGGGUGAACAAUCCUGGAGGUUGACGGUACCGAGAGAAGAAGCCCCGGCUAACUCCGUGCCAGCAGCCGCGGUAAUACGGGGGGGGCAAGCGUUGUUCGGAAUUACUGGGCGUAAAGGGCUCGUAGGCGGCCAACUAAGUCAGACGUGAAAUCCCUCGGCUUAACCGGGGAACUGCGUCUGAUACUGGAUGGCUUGAGUUUGGGAGAGGGAUGCGGAAUUCCAGGUGUAGCGGUGAAAUGCGUAGAUAUCUGGAGGAACACCGGUGGCGAAGGCGGCAUCCUGGACCAACACUGACGCUGAGGAGCGAAAGCCAGGGGAGCAAACGGGAUUAGAUACCCCAGUAGUCC
rnacentral:rRNA from 1 species